rnacentral:snRNA from 1 species
GUGCUUGCCUUGGUAGCAUGUAUAUAAACUUGGAACGAUGCAGGUUACCAUAGCCCCUGAACAAGAGUGCCAUGCAGAUUUGUGAAUUUUUUUUU